rnacentral:tRNA from 1 species
GCUGGGAUCGUAUAAAGGCUAGUGCGUUCGGUUGUGGUCCGAACAAUCCGGGCUCAGUCCCGGCA